rnacentral:rRNA from 1 species
CCUACGGGAGGCAGCAGUGAGGAAUAUUGGUCAAUGGACGCAAGUCUGAACCAGCCAUGCCGCGUGCAGGAAGACGGCCCUAUGAGUUGUAAACUGCUUUUGUACGAGGGUAAACGCAGAUACGCAUAUCUGUCUGAAAGUAUCGUACGAAUAAGGAUCGGCUAACUCCGUGCCAGCAGCCGCGGUAAUACGGAGGAUUCAAGCGUUAUCCGGAUUUAUUGGGUUUAAAGGGUGCGUAGGCGGUCGGUUAAGUCAGAGGUGAAAGCCCGAGGCUCAACCGCGGAAUUGCAUUUGAUACUGGCCGGCUAGAGUGUAGUUGAGGUAGGCGGAAUGUAUGGUGUAGCGGUGAAAUGCUUAGAUAUCAUGAAGAACUCCGAUCGCGAAGGCAAGUGUCCGGGGUGCAACUGACGCUGAGGCUCGAAAGUGUGGGUAUCAAACAGGAUUAGAUACCCCAGUAGUC